rnacentral:sRNA from 1 species
UCAAUACACUCUGGCAUCGUGAGUUAUCCGCCUUUUCUGUUUACCAGAUCACAUUUUUAUUAUUUAACAGGCCAGGCAUUACUUAAUUUAAAAUGUAUUCUUGACCGCAAAUAUAAUAAAUACAAAAUUAUAUUAAGCAAUAAAAAACCCCGGUCAUAAACCGGGGUUAAUUUAAAUA